UGCAAAUGAUGUAUUUCUCACGAUGGUCUUCCAAGCUCUCAGAGCUUUGACGAAAAUGCCUUAUGGCAACACUGAUGCAGCUCA